UACGUAGGGUGCAAGCGUUGUCCGGAAUUAUUGGGCGUAAAGAGCUCGUAGGCGGUUUGUCGCGUCUGCUGUGAAAACUCGGGGCUUAACUCCGGGCCUGCAGUGGGUACGGGCAGACUAGAGUGCGGUAGGGGAGACUGGAAUUCCUGGUGUAGCGGUGAAAUGCGCAGAUAUCAGGAGGAAUACCGGUGGCGAAGGCGGCAUCCUGGACCGACAUUGACGCUGAAAGCCGAAAGCUAGGGGAGCAAACGGG
rnacentral:rRNA from 1 species